GCGGGGUUGCCCGAGCGGUCAAAGGGGUAUGGCUAAGGACCAUAUGGCUUAGUGCCUGCGUGGGUUCAAAUCACUCACCCCGCA
rnacentral:tRNA from 1 species